rnacentral:rRNA from 1 species
UGCCUACGGGAGGCAGCAGUGGGGGAUAUUGCACAAUGGGGGAAACCCUGAUGCAGCGACGCCGCGUGUGGGAAGACGGUCCUCUGGAUUGUAAACCACUGUCCCCAGGGACGAAGAUGACGGUACCUGGGGAGGAAGCUCCGGCUAACUACGUGCCAGCAGCCGCGGUAAUACGUAGGGAGCGAGCGUUGUCCGGAAUUACUGGGUGUAAAGGGAGCGUAGGCGGGACUGCAAGUUGGGUGUCAAAUCUACCGGCUCAACCGGUAGCCGCACUCAAAACUGCAGUUCUUGAGUGAAGUAGAGGG